rnacentral:rRNA from 1 species
UACGAAGGGGGCUAGCGUUGCUCGGAAUCACUGGGCGUAAAGCGCACGUAGGCGGAUCCUUAAGUCGGGGGUGAAAUCCUGGAGCUCAACUCCAGAACUGCCUUCGAUACUGAGGAUCUCGAGUCCGGGAGAGGUGAGUGGAACUGCGAGUGUAGAGGUGAAAUUCGUAGAUAUUCGCAAGAACACCAGUGGCGAAGGCGGCUCACUGGCCCGGUACUGACGCUGAGGUGCGAAAGCUAGGGGAGCAAACGGG